rnacentral:rRNA from 1 species
AUUGAACGCUGGCGGCAGGCCUAACACAUGCAAGUCGAGCGAGCGGCGGACGGGUGAGUAAUGUAUGGGGACUGCCCGAUAGAGGGGGAUAACUACUGGAAACGGUAGCUAAUACCGCAUCCUAUCGGAUAACCCAUAUGGGAUUAGCUAGUUGGUGGGGUAAUGGCUCACCAAGGCGACGAUCCCUCGCUGGUCUGAGAGGAUGAUCAGCCACGCUGGUACUGGGCGAAGGCCCAGACGCCUACGGAGGCAGCGGUGGGGAAUAUUGCACUAGGGGAGCAGGCCUGAUGCAGCCAUGCCGAGUGGAUGGAGGAGGGACGAGGGUUGUCGAGGUCUUUCAGUCGGGAGGCGUUACCGUAAGAAGAAGGACCGGCUAACUCCGUGCCAGCAGCCGCGGUAAUAC